UACGAAGGGGGCUAGCGUUGUUCGGAAUUACUGGGCGUAAAGCGCACGUAGGCGGACUAUUAAGUCAGGGGUGAAAUCCCGGGGCUCAACCCCGGAACUGCCUUUGAUACUGGUAGUCUCGAGUCCGGAAGAGGUGAGUGGAAUUCCGAGUGUAGAGGUGAAAUUCGUAGAUAUUGGGAGGAACACCAGUGGCGAAGGCGGCUCACUGGACCGGUACUGACGCUGAUGCGCGAAAGCGUGGGGAGCAAACGGGG
rnacentral:rRNA from 1 species